rnacentral:tRNA from 1 species
GCGAUAGUAGCUCAGUUAGAGCUUCGGUUUUGUAAACCGAACGUCGAAGGUUAAAGUCCUUCCUAACGCU